AUGGGCAUCCGAAGAAAGAGGAAGCCUCUUUGUCUCUUUCCGGCAUUCAAGAUAUCGAAGCGAGGACGUGGUGGGUCCUCCGGUGCGAAAUUCCGGAUUUCCCUGGGUCUUCCGGUAGGCGCUGAAAUCAACAGUGCUGACAAUCCAGGAGCCAAAAAUGUGUAUAUCGUCUCCGUGAAGGGGAUCAAGGGACGGCUGAACAGAUUUCCCCGCUGCUGGUAUGGGUGACAUGGUGAUGGCCCCAGUCAAGAAAGGCAAACCAGAGCUCAGAGAGAAGGUGCAUCCAGCAGUGGUCAUUCAACAAUGAAAGUCAUACCGGAGAAAAGACGGCGUGUUCCUUUAUUUUGAAGGUAACACAGGGGUCAUAGUUAAUAAAGGCUAGACAGAGGGUUCUGCCAUUACAGAACCAGUUGCAAAGGAGUGUGAAGACUUAAGGCCCAGGAUUGCGUCCAAUGCCGGCAGCAUUGCAUGA